GCCAUGGUGGCUUCUGGAUGUUCGUCAACUUGGGCCCUAAUCAUAGUUAUCUCCAUUUCUUUAUAAUACUCUUCCACAGACCUAGAAACCCCGGGUCAAGCACUACAACUUUAGGUUCAUGUCUCUGUCAAAAUGAGCGGGCACAAACCGUUUCCUCAUGAUGGAUUCCAAUUCUCGCCAUGUGGUGAUAGACAAGCCUCCAUCUCAUUCCUAGAGAAGAGUUAACUGAUCCCACCAUACUGAGGCAUAAUUGGUAAACUCAAGGGUGGCCAACUUGAGCUUUUUCUCUUUACUAUAAUUGUGGUAACUAAAAAUGCGAUGGACCUUCGUUUCCCACUCAAGGUAGGCUUUGGGGUCAUUCUUCCCUUGAAAGGCUUGUAUUUGGAACUUGAAGCCAUGGAGGUCAUCAUCCGCCUCUUCAUGACGGCCUCCUUAUCUAUCACCAACAUCGUCACCACACGAUCUUGUCUCGUCGUACACUAUUUGGCUCUGGGCAUGACUGCGAUGCCCC
rnacentral:lncRNA from 1 species